UGAGGAAUAUUGGGCAAUGCCCGCAAGGGUGACCCAGCAACGCCGCGUGGAGGAUGAAUGUCGUAAGAUUGUAAACUCCUGUUAGAGGGGAAGAAUAGUACCGGUUGGACCGGUAUAUGACUGUACCCUCAGAGGAAGCCCCGGCUAACUACGUGCCAGCAGCCGCGGUAAUACGUAGGGGGCAAGCGUUGUCCGGAUUUACUGGGUGUAAAGGGCGCGCAGGCGGGAUAAAAAGUCAGUGGUGAAAUCCUACAGCUUAACUGUAGAACUGCCUUUGAUACUUUUAUUCUUGAGUUCGGGAGAGAGAGACGGAAUUCCGGGUGUAGUGGUGAAAUACGUAGAUAUCUGGAAGAACACCAGUUGCGAAGGCGGUCUCUUGGUCCGACACUGACGCUGAGGCGCGAAAGCGUGGGGAGCAAACA
rnacentral:rRNA from 1 species